AUUUAAAUAGUUUAAUAAAAAUAUUGAAUUGUGAUUUCAAAGAUAUAUUUUAUAUUUUAAAUU
rnacentral:tRNA from 1 species